UGGAUCUAUGAUGACAUCUGAUGCUGUCUGAGUCUUGAAUCAUGAUCACAUCCGGAAGUCUGAGGUCCAC